UGAGGUGUAACUCAACUGAUAGAGUGCUUUGCCUGGCAUGCAUGAAGCCCUGGGUUCAAAUCCCAGCGGUGCUU
rnacentral:tRNA from 1 species